ACAUCUAGGUAUUAGGUUGCAAACUUGCAACAGCUUCAAACCAUCUGCAUUACCCGCGGAAGUGGUUCUGUGACCGUUACCACAAUUGUGACCACAUCCGAGAUGAUGAACCAUGUUUGGGACUUUGGUGUGAUCAUGUGAUAAAUAGAAUGGUUCGAACUAGAGCCGUGGCUUUGCAGAAGUGUAUAUGUUCAAGUGAGGAUAUACUGUCACAUGCUAAGAAACUGCUGAAAGCAGAACUUCCUGCAUCACUGAGACUUAUAGUUAAUAAAGGAGUUUAGUUUGUUUUUCAGAUUUUAUGGAAGUUUUUUGAAGUGUCCUGUUACUUUGUAGACAGAUAAAUAUGCGUUUUUACAAGUAAAGAUUUGAAGUCAAAAGUGUAUUCACUAUUCGAUGAAUCCUUCCACAGACUCAAUUUUUUUUUUUUUUUAGAUUCCAAUGAGCCACAAGGGCAAUAUAAAUUACAAAUGGGGGUGAGGGGAUUUGAACCUGAGACCUAUUGUACACAGACCCUCAAUCUUAACCACUAGGCCAAGACAUCAUUGGUACCACACACUCAAUUAUGAUUGUCACUUGUAACUUUAUUGGUGGAAGUAGGGAUGUCAAUUAGUUGAUACGUCCGUGAACAACUUGUGUACAAGCUCGGUCUAAGCUUGUUCAUUAAUAAAUAAACGAGUCUGAACAAAAUUUUGAAGCUCGUUUAAUAAAUGAUACUAGCUCGAACAACUUGGUGGUUGGCUCGUUUCGGUUCGCGAACAGCUCGCUCACGUUCGUUUAUAAGCUCGUUUAGGGUAGACUUACUUUCAACUGGCCUAAGAAACUCUGGGAAGGAAUUCUGAUAGGAUCACACUAGAUCAUUAAUAAGAUGUCUGAAAUUUAUUCCUUAUACAGUUAUACUUAAAAAGUUAAAAAGCUCUCUUCGUCAAUCAUGUUUGUACGUGACUUGAGUAAGUUUUACGGAGUAGUUGUUAAUAUUUGAUGUCUUUGUUUGUCUGUUGUUUUCUAACAGGCCUUCGAGUUUCUCAGUUUAUUGAAGAUAAAGUUGGCUCGUCUGAUCCUAUCACGAAGAUGUCUUCAACAGGGACCAAUUCUCAGAUUUCUGUCAUAACAACUGCAGUUUGAACGAAAAUACUUCUGAUGUAGAAAAAAACAAUAUGCCUCUCAAUAAUAUUCAAUAUAUUUUUCUUCUCUGUUUUAAUCCUUAAAUUCAUUGUUAGAAUCACUGAGUGAAAAAGUAGGUGCCUACUUUCACUGUCCUAGAAAGUUUAACUGUUUAUUGCCUUUGUUGUUUUUUAUUCUCUCAAGGAAAGUGCAGGGGUUGAGCAUACCUCUAAAGAACACAAACCUUUUGCACGCAAUUUUUGGCGACAGAAUAUUGUUGCAGUAACAAAAACCCUGAUGAAGUGACAGCAUGUACCAAUGCUAGAGUUGAUACUGAUGCCUCUUCCUCUAGUCGGCAAGAUCAGUUUCGGUGGGUGGAUGGUUACAAGUGUUCUAUAUGUGGAAUAGAGAUGCCUCUUGAAUUUUUUGAUGAAAGACAAGAACAUUUUGAUUUUCAUCUUGCUGAAAGAUUGCAGGAAGUAGCAGCUCAAUGAAUCAUUGCUCGAAGCAAAGGUAUAUUAAAAAAGACCAGGUUGUGAGCCAAAGUAGAAAGAUAAGGCGCAAGUCAUUACCAGAACAAGGCAAAUAUCUUCCUAUUGAUCUGCUUUUCACAAAGAGGAUCAAAAUACUUGAUAUUUUGUGAUCUAUCUGUAAAAAACAUCUGUAUAUGUAAUUCAAUCAGAAUUCUUGAACAUUAUCUGUCUUUUUUUGUUUAUAGUCUGUGUAUGUAAUAUGUAGGUACAAGGAAUGGAAAGAAAAAAAAAGUUUGUUAUAGUUGGUCUAUGUAAUUUUCU